AGAGUUUGAUCCUGGCUCAGGACGAACGCUGGCGGCGUGCCUAAUACAUGCAAGUCGAGCGAGCUUGCCUAGAUGAUUUUAGUGCUUGCACUAAAUGAAACUAGAUACAAGCGAGCGGCGGACGGGUGAGUAACACGUGGGUAACCUGCCCAAGAGACUGGGAUAACACCUGGAAACAGAUGCUAAUACCGGAUAACAACACUAGACGCAUGUCUAGAGUUUGAAAGAUGGUUCUGCUAUCACUCUUGGAUGGACCUGCGGUGCAUUAGCUAGUUGGUAAGGUAACGGCUUACCAAGGCAAUGAUGCAUAGCCGAGUUGAGAGACUGAUCGGCCACAUUGGGACUGAGACACGGCCCAAACUCCUACGGGAGGCAGCAGUAGGGAAUCUUCCACAAUGGACGAAAGUCUGAUGGAGCAACGCCGCGUGAGUGAAGAAGGGUUUCGGCUCGUAAAGCUCUGUUGGUAGUGAAGAAAGAUAGAGGUAGUAACUGGCCUUUAUUUGACGGUAAUUACUUAGAAAGUCACGGCUAACUACGUGCCAGCAGCCGCGGUAAUACGUAGGUGGCAAGCGUUGUCCGGAUUUAUUGGGCGUAAAGCGAGUGCAGGCGGUUCAAUAAGUCUGAUGUGAAAGCCUUCGGCUCAACCGGAGAAUUGCAUCAGAAACUGUUGAACUUGAGUGCAGAAGAGGAGAGUGGAACUCCAUGUGUAGCGGUGGAAUGCGUAGAUAUAUGGAAGAACACCAGUGGCGAAGGCGGCUCUCUGGUCUGCAACUGGCGCUGAGGCUCGAAAGCAUGGGUAGCGAACAGGAUUAGAUACCCUGGUAGUCCAUGCCGUAAACGAUGAGUGCUAAGGGUUGGGAGGUUUCCCCCCCUCCAGUGCUGCAG
rnacentral:rRNA from 1 species